rnacentral:lncRNA from 1 species
GAGGUGAGUGGAAUAAACCUUAAGUUUUAAAAUAAAUGAAAUAUGAAUUUUGAGCAUGAUCCAUGCAUCAUGAAUGCCAUGAGAUGUAGUAGGUUGUUUGCAUUAGUAUUCACGAAUAUGUUGCAUUGCAUUUAUGAUGUUGAUGUGGAUUGGUUAUUGGAUGAUCCUUUAGUCCUCAUAUGAUAUGAUGAUGUUAUGGCAUGAGACGGUAUGGAAGUCCAGGUUGUACCCAUUCUACGUCCCUGGCACGAUGUAAGAGAAAGUCCAGGUUGUACCCAUUCUACGUCCCUGGCACAUUGGUAUGUUAUGAUAUGUUAUGUUAAGAGAAAGACCGGUUGUACCCAUUCUACGUCCCGG